GAAACCGAAGCUAAUACCGGAUAGGAUCUUCUCCUUCAUGGGAGAUGAUUGAAAGAUGGUUUCGGCUAUCACUUACAGAUGGGCCCGCGGUGCAUUAGCUAGUUGGUGAGGUAACGGCUCACCAAGGCAACGAUGCAUAGCCGACCUGAGAGGGUGAUCGGCCACACUGGGACUGAGACACGGCCCAGACUCCUACGGGAGGCAGCAGUAGGGAAUCUUCCGCAAUGGACGAAAGUCUGACGGAGCAACGCCGCGUGAGUGAUGAAGGCUUUCGGGUCGUAAAACUCUGUUGUUAGGGAAGAACAAGUACGAGAGUAACUGCUCGUACCUUGACGGUACCUAACCAGAAAGCCACGGCUAACUACGUGCCAGCAGCCGCGGUAAUACGUAGGUGGCAAGCGUUAUCCGGAAUUAUUGGGCGUAAAGCGCGCGCAGGCGGUUUCUUAAGUCUGAUGUGAAAGCCCACGGCUCAACCGUGGAGGGUCAUUGGAAACUGGGGAACUUGAGUGCAGAAGAGAAAAGCGGAAUUCCACGGUGUAGCGGUGAAAUGCGUAGAGAUGUGGGAGGAAACACCAGGUGGCGAAAGGCGGCUUUUUGGGUCUGUAAACUG
rnacentral:rRNA from 2 species